rnacentral:rRNA from 1 species
UUUGUGCAUCGAUGAAGAACGCAGAUAAUUGCGCGUCAACAUGUGAAGUGCAGGACACAUGAACAUCGACAUUUUGAACGCACAUUGCGGUCCUCGGAUACUGUUCCUGGACCACUCCUAGCUGAGGGUUGUA